rnacentral:rRNA from 1 species
CAGCAGCCGCGGUAAUACGGAGGGAGCUAGCGUUGUUCGGAAUUACUGGGCGUAAAGCGCGCGUAGGCGGUUACUCAAGUCAGAGGUGAAAGCCCGGGGCUCAACCCCGGAACUGCCUUUGAAACUAGGUAACCGGAAUCUUGGAGAGGUCAGUGGAAUUCCGAGUGUAGAGGUGAAAUUCGUAGAUAUUCGGAAGAACACCAGUGGCGAAGGCGACUGACUGGACAAGUAUUGACGCUGAGGUGCGAAAGCGUGGGGAGCAUACAGGAUUAGAUACCCGGGUAGUCCUUGUCUCUUAUAC